AGUGGGGGCAAAAUGAAAUAUAGUGAGAAAAGGGGCGACUGACAAAACUUUGGCAAUAAUAACCACGUCGGCCACAUGAGGGGCACGGUGGUGCUCAUGGUUAUUAUUGCCACAGGGGGGCCCAAAUUCAAAGGUUGCCCUGGGGCCCAUAGAAUUCUAGUUACGCCACUGCACCAGACGCAUGCGCAUAUCACACACAGCGUGCGGCUGUACAGCGGGUUGGAAGGAGAGUGUUCCUUCCUUCCAACUGUGAUGCUGGCCAGCCACUGCCACCAAUAUGAAAGCUGAAAAGGGCUAGUGAGGGAGGGAUUGGUUAGCUCAGUGCAGCAGAGACCCUAGUCAGUUUUGAGUCACAUUUAAAUAAUAAAUGUAAUAGUUAUCUAUUUUAACAUGAACCUUGUGUUUUGUUAUGCGCGUGAAUCAGUCAGCGCCGACCAGCACACAC